CCUACGGGAGGCAGCAGUGGGGGAUAUUACACAAUGGGGGAAACCCUGAUGCAGCGACGCCGCGUGGGCGAAGAAGUAUUUCGGUAUGUAAAGCCCUAUCAGCAGGGAAGAAGAAAUGACGGUACCUGAGUAAGAAGCACCGGCUAAAUACGUGCCAGCAGCCGCGGUAAUACGUAUGGUGCCAGCGUUAUCCGGAUUUACUGGGUGGAAAGGGAGCGCAGGCGGCACGGCAAGCCUGAUGUGAAAGCCCGCGGCCCAACCGCGGGACUGCAUUGGGAACUACCGGGCUGGAGUGCCGGAGAGGUAGGCGGAAUUCCUAGUGUAGCGGUGAAAUGCGUAGAUAUUAGGAGGAACACCAGUGGCGAAGGCGGCCUACUGGACGGUGACUGACGCUGAGGCUCGAAAGCGUGGGGAGCAAACAGGAUUAGAUACCCGAGUAGUC
rnacentral:rRNA from 1 species